AUGCAGGUACUUUCUCAAGAGCUACAAACUCUUCUGGGCAAAGAGGCCAUAGAACAUGUUCCUCUUCCACAGAGAGAGUCGGGCUAUUACAGCAGAUACUUCCUAGUUCCCAAAAAGGGUGGGGGAGUGCGUCCAAUCUUGGAUCUUCGAGGCUUAAACCGUACAAUCAGAGCACUCAAGUUCAAGAUGUUAACCUUCAAGACGGUCGUGUCGCAAAUUCGGCAUCGCGAUUGGUUCAUCACGAUCGAUCUGAAGGACGCAUAUUUUCAUAUAGAGAUUUUGCCACAACACAGGAAAUUCCUGAGGUUCGCUUUCGGGGGCGAAGCAUACCAGUUUCGGGUUCUUCCUUUCGACCUAGCCUUAUCACCCCGCACGUACACAAAAUGCAUGGAUGCAGCGCUGGCUCCAUUACGACUCCAGGGCAUUCGCAUUUUGAAUUAUAUCGACGAUUGGCUGAUACUAGCGCAAUCGCGAGAGAUGGCGCUACAACACAGGGACAUCGUGUUAGCUCAUCUAGUUUCUCUGGGGUUGAGACUCAACACCGAGAAGAGUGUUCUCUGUCCGGCCCAGAGAACGACUUAUCUUGGGGAUCGUUUGGGAUUCGAUCACGAUGCGGGCACAACUGUCUCCCGCUCAGAUCGAGACCAUUCAGCAGACCAUGAGCAAGGUCAGGCUAGGCCAGGAUCGCACUGUUCGUCAGUAUCAAAAGAUGCUAGGUUUCAUGGCUUCAGCAUCCACGGUGAUUCCUUUGGGGCUGUUACACAUGAGACCGUUUCAGUUGUGGCUAAAAGCCAGAGGAUUUCAUCCGAGAGCCAAUCCUCAAAGGCAAAUAAAAGUGACGCGCCGCGGGCUUCGUACACUAUCUCUGUGGAUCAGACCCCGGUUCCUUGCCUUGGGUCCCACUCUAGGGGCACCGUGUCGUCGCAGACUGCUAACGACAGAUGCCUCCCUGUUGGGCUGGGGAGCAGUUUUGGAUGGCCACCCAGCUCAAGGGGAAUGGGGGGGUCGUCAGCUCGAUUGGCACAUCAAUUGCCUCGAGCUGAUGGCCGUAUUUCUGGCUCUGAAAUAUUUCCUCCAUCAUUUGAGAGACUGUCAUGUUCUAGUACGGGUGGACAACACAGCAACAGUCUCAUAUAUAAAUCACCAGGGGGGUCUGCGCUCACGCAAUCUGAACAAGAUAGCGAGGCAGAUUUUUCUUUGGGCCCAGGACAAGCUCCUGUCACUCAGGGCAGUUUACAUUCCGGGGCGUUUGAAUGUGGGAGCGGAUUUACUGUCCAGACAGACACUUCCGACAGGGGAAUGGAAACUCCACCCAGAGGUAGUGGAACAGAUUUGGGAAAAAUUUUACGAAGCAGAGGUGGACCUCUUCGCCUCCCUUCAGACAGCGCAAUGUCCCCUCUACUUCUCUCUUAG
rnacentral:lncRNA from 1 species